rnacentral:rRNA from 1 species
UUUUAUUUGAGAGUUUGAUCCUGGCUCAGGAUGAACGCUGGCGGCGUGCCUAACACAUGCAAGUUGAGCGAUUUACUUCGGUAAAGAGCGGCGGACGGGUGAGUAACGCGUGGGUAACCUACCCUGUACACACGGAUAACAUACCGAAAGGUAUGCUAAUACGGGAUAAUAUAUUUGAGAGGCAUCUCUUGAAUAUCAAAGGUGAGCCAGUACAGGAUGGACCCGCGUCUGAUUAGCUAGUUGGUAAGGUAACGGCUUACCAAGGCGACGAUCAGUAGCCGACCUGAGAGGGUGAUCGGCAACAUUGGAACUGAGACACGGUCCAAACUCCUACGGGAGGCAGCAGUGGGGAAUAUUGCACAAU